rnacentral:lncRNA from 10 species
CCUCUCUCUCUCUCUUUUGUGAGUUAUAGCAACCGUUGCCUUGUGAAUCAAGCGCCAUAGUCACCGUAGUCCUGGCGACUGUUACCCAUCAACAACAACUACUCCUCUCCUCCUCCUCCUCCUCUUCCUCCUCCUCCUCCCCACCACCACCAUCUCCAUCACCCACCAACAACACCACAAUAAUCCACAGCCAAGAUGAGUGUCAAAUGCCUGAACACUUUUGGAUGGUGAAGCUCCUGGGUCCUAUAAACUCUCUCUGAAGUUAAUAGGAGUUUUGCUGUCUUGGGACAGUUUCAGACCUUAUGCCAUUUACAUAAUAGGUUUUCAGUUAAGUAAAUUAUAUACUAUAAUGUUAUGGUUUAAUAUUUUAUUUACAGUGUCUGAGAACUUUUUUUGAGGCAUUUCACUCAUGUAUAGCUCAGGUUUUCUGUGAUUUAGAUUUUCAUUCACAAGUUGAUUUGAGAGCAGAACUUAAAUUGAAUUUCAUUACUUUUCCAUUUUUUGAAGCAUAUAUGUGGGAUAAAAUUGCUAUUAGAGCUGCUGUGGAAUUGAUUAAAUAAUCAGAAACACUGAGAAAUGGUAAAUUUAAAAAUUAAACACAAGGAUAGAUACUUAGCAUUUACUUUAUUCUUUCUUAAUAUUUUUCCUAGAAGGGACUAUGUUAUGUAUUGAUACUCUCUUGUGUUUUCAGUUUUUAUACUAAUAGAAAUUUGUAAAAGUGAUCAUGCUUUGAAACUAAAACUAUUAAAUAGAAGUCACUUGUAACUUGUUUUGAAUAGUCAAAUGUCUGUGAUUCAAUGUAUGUCAUAAUGCCUAACUCAG